GUUGUUAUAGUUUUUUUAACUCUCAGUUAGGUUGACAGACAGAACAUGAACAAAAACAAAAAUGAAUUACAACUGCAAAUCGGGGAAAAUGUUCGUCAAUGCAGAGAUUCCAAAGGGCUUACUCAGGAAGAAUUGGCGGAGAUAUGCAAUUUCAGCGCAGCUUAUUGUUCGCAGAUCGAAACCGGUCAGCGCAUGAUGUCCAUCGAAACACUGGUUCAGGUGGCAGAAGGUCUGCAAACCAGUGCCGAUAUCCUGAUUUACGGCAACACAAAAGACGGGCGAAUUUUACACAUUGUAAAAAUGCUGGAGAGUAUGCCGAAUGACGACCUAGAAUUUAUCGAGAACAACAUUCUUUUAGUGUGUAACUGGCUCAACCAAAAAUCAAAAUAACAACUUGGAGGUAUUGGAUUGUUCUUAUCGGAGGUGGAAACAGGAUGCAGCAAAAUGAUCCGUUACACCAGUUGUAUGUUGAGCACUACAGUUACCUUUACCGCUUCGCGCGAAGCUUUGUCAAUCCGGAUCUGGCAGAAGAUCUCGUACAGGAAACAUUUUUAAUCGCACAAAAACGGCUGGACCGGGUAACAAGCAGCGAAAACCCAACAGGAUGGCUGAUUAACACCUUGAAGAACGUGAUCGGCAAUACAUAUCAGAAGCGGCAAUUCAUAUAUACGGAACUGAGUCCUGACGCCAUAGCCGAUGAAGCGGGCGAGUAUGUGCAUUCCAUCAACGAUAUGUACGCGGGGCUGAUCGACGAUGAGGCUCUGUCUCUGCUGAUUUGGAUAUACUGUGAAGACACAAGCUAUCAGGAAGCUGCAAACCGUCUUGGGAUCUCAUUGGAUUCCUGUAAAAAGCGGAUUCAGCGGGCAAAACAGGCAUUAAAAAAAGCUAUCGAAAAAAAUAAAUUGCUCUAGUGUGUCACUUUUGGACGAUAUAUUCAAAUAGCUUUUAUGAAGGGAGGGGCCAAGGAAUGCAAAAUGAUAGCGGAGCCAGUCUCGCCGAAACAAUAUAUCGAAAAAUGUCCGACGAAGAACUGCAAAAUACUCUCCGCUGCGAAACAUUUUCGGAUGGUGCGCUUGAUGUCAAACAAAUAGAGAUGAUCCUUGCGGAAAUGGAGCGUCGCGGAAUCAACGAUCCAUCUCGUUCUUCGGAAGAAGCGUGGAAUGAAUUUGAGCAGGAGUAUUCCGGGAAGAUAUCCGACUAUGCCGAUUGUGCCCCUGAUGCGAAGGCUUGUGCUGCAAUAAGCGGGAAGCCCAUGCACACACAUCGGCGUCAGCCGGUGCGGAGUCAACCUUGGGAUACCGCUCUUAAAGUAUCCGAAUUCUAACCUGCGGCCGUGAAUCCGGCCGGGGGACAUUGUUAGGUGGGCAGUUUGACUGGGGCGGUCGCCUCCAAAAGAGUAACGGAGGCGCUCAAAGGUUCGUUCAGCACGGACGGAAAUCGUGCAUUGAGUGUAAACGCAUAAACGAGCCUAACUGCGAGACCGACGGGUCGAGCAGUAACGAAAGUUGGAGUUAGUGAUCCGGUGGUAUGUGAGUGGAAAUGCCAUCGCUCAACGGAUAAAAGCUACCCUGGGGAUAACAGGCUGAUCUCCCCCAAGCGUCCACAGCGACGGGGAGGUUUGGCACCUCGAUGUCGGCUCGUCACAUCCUGGGGCUGUACUCGGUCCCAAGGGUUCGGCUGUUCGCCGAUUAAAGUGGCACGCGAGCUGGGUUCAGAACGUCGUGAGACAGUUCGGUCCCUAUCUGUUGCGGGCGUAAGAGAUUUGAAGGGGGCUGUCCUUAGUACGAGAGGACCGGGAUGGACGCACCUCUGGUGCACCUGUUGUCGUGCCAACGGCAUAGCAGGGUAGCUAAGUGCGGACGAGAUAAACGCUGAAAGCAUCUAAGCGUGAAACUUUCCCUAAGAUAAGAUCUCUCAUCCUUCGAGGAGUAAGGCACGACAGAGACUAUGUCGUAGAUAGGCCGGAGGUGGAAGUGCAGUAAUGUAUGGAGCUGACCGGUACUAAUCAGCCGAGGGCUUGACCU
rnacentral:rRNA from 1 species